rnacentral:rRNA from 1 species
UACGUAGGGUGCGAGCGUUGUCCGGAAUUAUUGGGCGUAAAGAGCUUGUAGGCGGCCUGUCGCGUCUGCUGUGAAAUCCCGGGGCUUAACCCCGGGCGUGCAGUGGAUACGGGCUGGCUGGAGGCAGGCAGGGGAGAACGGAAUUCCCGGUGUAGCGGUGAAAUGCGCAGAUAUCAGGAGGAACACCGAUGGCGAAGGCAGGUCUCUGGGCAUUAACUGACGCUGAGGAGCGAAAGCAUGGGGAGCGAACAGG